rnacentral:rRNA from 1 species
GAUGAACGCUGGCGGCGUGCCUAAUACAUGCAAGUCGAGCGAACAGACGAGGAGCUUGCUCCUCUGACGUUAGCGGCGGACGGGUGAGUAACACGUGGAUAACCUACCUAUAAGACUGGGAUAACUUCGGGAAACCGGAGCUAAUACCGGAUAAUAUAUUGAACCGCAUGGUUCAAUAGUGAAAGACGGUUUUGCUGUCACUUAUAGAUGGAUCCGCGCCGCAUUAGCUAGUUGGUAAGGUAACGGCUUACCAAGGCAACGAUGCGUAGCCGACCUGAGAGGGUGAUCGGCCACACGGGAAAUGAGACACGGUCAAGACUCAGACGGGAGGCAGCAGUAGGGAAUCUUCCGCAAGGGGCGAAAGCCUGAAGGAGCAACGCGGCGUGAGUGAUAAAGGUCUUGGGAGCGAAAAACUUUGUUAUGAGGGAAGAAAAAAUGUGAAAGUAAAUAGGCACGUCUGGACGGUACAUAAUAAGAAAGCCACGGCUAACUCCGUG